GACACCGGUAAGGAACGGCUCACACAGGGCAGUGACACCGGUAAGGAACAGCUCACACAGGGCAGUGACACCGGUAAGGAACGGCUCACACAGGGCAGUGACACCGGUAAGGAAAGGCUCACACAGGGCAGUGACACCGGUAAGGAACGGCUCACACAGGGCAGUGACACCGGUAAGGAACGGCUCACACAGGGCAGUGACACCGGUAAGGAACAGCUCACACAGGGCAGUGACACCGGUAAGGAACGGCUCACACAGGCAUCACACCCAGGGGGACAGAAGGAAACUUCAAGAAUAAGAGUUCACAACUGGUGUUCCUGGUUGGAAAUGGAGCUGUUGGAGUCCUGAGAUGCCGGUGGGUUGGGAAGCCCUGUGGAGAGUUCCAAAUGCUCUCUGCACCCAGAAGUUCAUUGUCCAACAGUUUUCCUACAAGGACAUUGCAGAAGAAUCCAUAAGGCACACGUCAGAUAAAUGCCUGCUCAAGAUCCGAAGUAGAAUCAGACUAACAAAAUGAAAACAGUGAUUGUGUUCUGUGAUCCAGUGCAAUGAAAUUCUAAAAAUCGAGAGGAGGAAUUAUCAAGGAGUCCCAGCCAUUUCUACAUUCAGGGAUUGCAUGA